GAGCUCUUUGCUUGUUUCUGCUGCUCUUUCCCGAAGGGGCCCAGCACAUGUAGCCAUUCAGGGGCCUGGGCCAUAAAUAAGAGCCCUGCCCGCCGCUCAGCACUGCUUAUUCUAAAAGGAUACAAGGACUUUGGAGCACAGCCAACAUACCUGGAACAAAAGGUAAUAAGACGGACAAGAAAUCCACAAGCACAAAGCAACCUCAGAGUCCUAAGGAACAGCCGAAGAAAGGCGAUCAGAAAGGAGAUGACACCAAAAAGCAAGGAGGAGAGCAGAAGGGAGAGAAGCAAUAAUUUCCAGGCCUUCGUGAAGCUGGCUCUGGAAACUCCCGGGCCCUUGUCGACACAAACAUGGCGGUCCCCGGGGUACACAGGGCUGAGGUUUGCUCCUCCCACUCAGCCAAUCGAAAACAACCAUCUCAGAAUCGCAAGACAGAGCUCGGCCCAAGCCUCUGUAGCAACCGUCUGCCACAUCUGUGUCUUCUCUCGUGGGUCUCAGGUUUGAAUACCACUGCUGUUCUUGCUCAUUGGAAGUUGAGCCAGAAUCAGAGACUCUGUGACCCCGCCUCAUCUGCUCACGAUGACUCCGCCCGUGUCUGAAUUCCUAACUGUGCUGUGCAAGUUACUAAUAAACAUGAUUUCCAAAAUUUGGAAUUUUGAUUGCUUUGUAGGACUAGUAGA